rnacentral:rRNA from 1 species
GACGAACGCUGGCGGCGUGCCUAAUACAUGCAAGUUGAGCGAUGAAGAUUGGUGCUUGCGCCAAUUUGAAGAGCAGCGAACGGGUGAGUAACGCGUGGGGAAUCUGCCUUUGAGCGGGGGACAACAUUUGGAAACGAAUGCUAAUACCGCAUAACAACUUUAAACAUAAGUUUUAAGUUUGAAAGAUGCAAUUGCAUCACUCAAAGAUGAUCCCGCGUUGUAUUAGCUAGUUGGUGAGGUAAAGGCUCACCAAAGGGAUGAUACAUAGCCGACCUGAGAGGGAGAUCGGCCACAAUGGGACUGAGACACGGCCCAAACUCCUAAGGGAGGCAGCAGGAGGGAAUCUUUGGCAAUGGACGAAAGGCUGAACGAGCAACGCCGCGGGAGUGAAGAAGGGUCUCGGAUCGUAAAAGUCUGUUGGUAGAGAAGAACGUUGGUGAGAGUGGAAAGCUCAUCAAGUGACGGUAACUACACAGAAAGCGACGGCUAACUACGUG